UUUCAGGCUGACCUAAGGAAGAGCCCUGGAUCAAGAAAAGACUGCCUUCUCCUCCUAGACAUCUGGAGUCCCCGUACCUCAUCCUGAUAUCUGGUGACUCCUGGAGGUUUUCCUGGAGAGAGCGGGGAGUGUCUACUUGACAUCGAAAGGUUAAUAUGUUGAAUCCUAAUUACCAACUCGAUAGUAUUAGGAGAUGGGACCUUUGAGAAGUGAUUAGGUUAUAAGGAUGGAGCCCUCAUGGACCGGAUUAAUGGAAAGAGAAGAAAAGAAAAGAAAAAAGAAAAGAAAAGAAAAGGAAAGAAAGGGGUCCAGAGAGCUGCCUUGCAGAAGGCAUCAUCUAUGAUCCAGGAAGUGGGCCCUCACCAGACACCAAAUCUGCUGGUGCUUUGAUCUUGAACUUACCAGUCUUCAGAACUGUGAGCAACAAAUUUCUGUUGUUUAAAAGCCACCCAGUUUAAGGGAGAAGAGGCCUCACAGGCAAGAAGAACACGAGAACACAGAUGCUCCCAGGGUCCCUGGAAAAAUGC
rnacentral:lncRNA from 1 species